rnacentral:rRNA from 1 species
CUAAGGUAGCAUAAUCACUUGUUAUUUAAUUGGUGACUGGAAUGAAAGGUUAAACUAGUUUAUUAGGUUUGUAAGGUUGUAUAGAAGCUUAAAGUUAAGGUAAGAAUUCUUUAAUUUUCUAGGGGACGAUAAGACCCUAGAAGCUUAACAAGUAGUAGGUUUGAUUUAUAAGUUUGUUUGUUUUACUGGGGCGGUAAAAGUAAUUAAGCUAUUUGUUAUUUAGAGGAUCUUCAAUAUAGGAAAAAAAUAGGAUAGUUACUCUAGGGGUAA